AGGGGAUAACUACUGGAAACGGUAGCUAAUACCGCAUAACGUCGCAAGACCAAGAGGGGACCUUCGGGCCUCUUGCCAUCAGAUGUGCCCAGAUGGGAUUAGCUAGUAGGUGGGGUAACGGCUCACCUAGGCGACGAUCCCUAGCUGGUCUGAGAGGAUGACCAGCCACACUGGAACUGAGACACGGUCCAG
rnacentral:rRNA from 1 species